rnacentral:rRNA from 1 species
UCUUAGUGGCGGACGGGUGAGUAACGCGUGGGUAACCUGCCUUGCACUGGGGGAUAACACUUAGAAAUAGGUGCUAAUACCGCAUAAGCGCACGGUCCUGCAUGGGACAGUGUGAAAAACUCCGGUGGUGCAAGAUGGACCCGCGUCUGAUUAGCUGGUUGGCGGGGUAAAGGCCCACCAAGGCGACGAUCAGUAGCCGGCCUGAGAGGGUGGACGGCCACAUUGGGACUGAGACACGGCCCAAACUCCUACGGAAGGCAGCAG